UUACAAUGAAGAGUUUGAUCCUGGCUCAGGAUGAACGCUAGCUACAGGCUUAACACAUGCAAGUCGAGGGGCAGCAUGGUCUUAGCUUGCUAAGGCCGAUGGCGACCGGCGCACGGGUGAGUAACACGUAUCCAACCUGCCGUCUACUCUUGGACAGCCUUCUGAAAGGAAGAUUAAUACAAGAUGGCAUCAUGAGUCCGCAUGUUCACAUGAUUAAAGGUAUUCCGGUAGACGAUGGGGAUGCGUUCCAUUAGAUAGUAGGCGGGGUAACGGCCCACCUAGUCUUCGAUGGAUAGGGGUUCUGAGAGGAAGGUCCCCCACAUUGGAACUGAGACACGGUCCAAACUCCUACGGGAGGCAGCAGUGAGGAAUAUUGGUCAAUGGGCGAGAGCCUGAACCAGCCAAGUAGCGUGAAGGAUGACUGCCCUAUGGGUUGUAAACUUCUUUUAUAAAGGAAUAAAGUCGGGUAUGCAUACCCGUUUGCAUGUACUUUAUGAAUAAGGAUCGGCUAACUCCGUGCCAGCAGCCGCGGUAAUACGGAGGAUCCGAGCGUUAUCCGGAUUUAUUGGGUUUAAAGGGAGCGUAGAUGGAUGUUUAAGUCAGUUGUGAAAGUUUGCGGCUCAACCGUAAAAUUGCAGUUGAUACUGGAUAUCUUGAGUGCAGUUGAGGCAGGCGGAAUUCGUGGUGUAGCGGUGAAAUGCUUAGAUAUCACGAAGAACUCCGAUUGCGAAGGCAGCCUGCUAAGCUGCAACUGACAUUGAGGCUCGAAAGUGUGGGUAUCAAACAGGAUUAGAUACCCUGGUAGUCCACACGGUAAACGAUGAAUACUCGCUGUUUGCGAUAUACAGCAAGCGGCCAAGCGAAAGCGUUAAGUAUUCCACCUGGGGAGUACGCCGGCAACGGUGAAACUCAAAGGAAUUGACGGGGGCCCGCACAAGCGGAGGAACAUGUGGUUUAAUUCGAUGAUACGCGAGGAACCUUACCCGGGCUUAAAUUGCAGAUGAAUUACGGUGAAAGCCGUAAGCCGCAAGGCAUCUGUGAAGGUGCUGCAUGGUUGUCGUCAGCUCGUGCCGUGAGGUGUCGGCUUAAGUGCCAUAACGAGCGCAACCCUUGUUGUCAGUUACUAACAGGUUCCGCUGAGGACUCUGACAAGACUGCCAUCGUAAGAUGUGAGGAAGGUGGGGAUGACGUCAAAUCAGCACGGCCCUUACGUCCGGGGCUACACACGUGUUACAAUGGGGGGUACAGAGGGCCGCUACCACGCGAGUGGAUGCCAAUCCCCAAAACCUCUCUCAGUUCGGACUGGAGUCUGCAACCCGACUCCACGAAGCUGGAUUCGCUAGUAAUCGCGCAUCAGCCACGGCGCGGUGAAUACGUUCCCGGGCCUUGUACACACCGCCCGUCAAGCCAUGGGAGCCGGGGGUACCUGAAGUGCGUAACCGCGAGGAGCGCCCUAGGGUAAAACUGGUGACUGGGGCUAAGUCGUAACAAGGUAGCCGUACCGGAAGGUGCGGCUGGAACACCUCCUUUCU
rnacentral:rRNA from 1 species